rnacentral:snoRNA from 8 species
UUGGAGUGGUAAUGAUCUGGUUGGACUAGAGUCUCUGAGCUUUUCUCUGAGGAUCUUUGAACCCACCUGAUCCACCCUCA